AUUGAACGCUGGCGGCAUGCCUUACACAUGCAAGUCGAACGGCAGCACGGGAGCAAUCCUGGUGGCGAGUGGCGAACGGGUGAGUAAAGUAUCGGAACGUGCCCAGUCGUGGGGGAUAACGUAGCGAAAGUUACGCUAAUACCGCAUACGAUCUAUGGAUGAAAGCGGGGGAUCGCAAGACCUCGCGCGAUUGGAGCGGCCGAUAUCAGAUUAGGUAGUUGGCGGGGUAAAGGCUCACCAAGCCGACGAUCUGGAGCUGGUCUGAGAGGACGACCAGCCACACUGGGACUGAGACACGGCCCAGAAUCCUACGGGAGGCAGCAGUGGGGAAUUUUGGACAAUGGGCGAAAGCCUGAUCCAGCCAUGCCGCGUGCAGGAUGAAGGCCUUCGGGUUGUAAACUGCUUUUGUACGGAACGAAAAGGUUUGGCCUAAUAAGCUGAGCUCAUGACGGUACCGUAAGAAUAAGCACCGGCUAACUACGUGCCAGCCGCCGCAGUAA
rnacentral:rRNA from 1 species